UUUGCAUAUUAGGGUUUAUUAUAUAGGAUGUUUAGAUCCUUCCUAUCUCAUUUUCAAGUGAAAGUUAAACUAACAGCAUCUCAAUCUGUUUCAGCCUCUCUCCAAUGAUAAAACUCUUAAGUGUCAGGUUAUCUGCAGAAUACAAACUUUUUAAACAAAGAUGGGAGAACCUUCAGCCCAAGACCAUAAAACAAAUGCAGCCUUCCAGUCUUCAACAGGAUCAAGCAGUUUAAUAAGAAAAGUACACCCUUAGCAGAGGAGGCUCUAAAAUUUUCUCAAAACCACCUCUUGAAGCUUUCACAGCACUAAAACGGGACCUCUACUGCCAAGUUUGAGUCAGGGAGCAACUGGCUCCUUGGUGAGAAAUGGCUGGAAGACAGCCUUAACUUUCAGAAAUAACUUUAACUCUAUCAUCUCAAUAGCCCACACCACUCAUUAUCUUUGAUUAGUAAGCUCAGUAUUUGUGACCCUCAAAAUUUUGCCCUUGAAUAAAAGCCCCACACCCUUGACAAUGUUUACCUCCCUUCAUUGAGCUAGUAGUCAAAACCAUAUACUCCCUUCUGCACGCUUUGUGACAUACCACUAAAACCUCCAUCCAUCACGACCCAUCAUUUUGCACGAUCCAGUUCAAACAGCCCAAUCUGCUCUCCCCAAACGGCCUUAUUAACCUGUUGUUCUCUGGUGAGGCUGAAGGUAACAGCUCUAGUUCUCACCCAUGACCUAACCUUACACGAUUAAGGCAUCAAAUGAAGAGAAGCUUCCUGCAGCCAGCCUCCAAGUGCUCUUACAAUCCCCCCCUUGCUUUUCCCAAAGGGUGUGAUCUGCUCAUCCAGUCAGCUAAUCAUCGACAAGCAGUGCUCUCACCCACUGUGGUCUCUGAAUACCCGUUUUCUCAAGAACCAAAGCUCCUUGGAGGAAUGGAUCAAUCCAGGUCUGAGAAAAUGAAGAUGCUUGACAUCAAAGACUACUGGAGUCCGUGAUGGAACUUUCCAGUGAGGCAGUUUACCUUCUACUGAGCCUCCGUUAAUAAAAGUAGAGGGAAGUUGUAAGGACAGACUGUCCUGGAAAGAAGUGAUCAAUGAAGAAAACUACAACCUGAAAUAAAUGAACUGACACCUGGAA